rnacentral:rRNA from 1 species
UGGGAGGCUUUGAAGUGUGGACGCCAGUCUGCAUGGAGCCGACCUUGAAAUACCACCCUUUAAUGUUUGAUGUUCUAACGUUGACCCGUAAUCCGGGUUGCGGACAGUGUCUGGUGGGUAGUUUGACUGGGGCGGUCUCCUCCUAAAGAGUAACGGAGGAGCACGAAGGUUGGCUAAUCCUGGUCGGACAUCAGGAGGUUAGUGCAAUGGCAUAAGCCAGCUUGACUGCGAGCGUGACGGCGCGAGCAGGUGCGAAAGCAGGUCAUAGUGAUCCGGUGGUUCUGAAUGGAAGGGCCAUCGCUCAACGGAUAAAAGGUACUCCGGGGAUAACAGGCUGAUACCGCCCAAGAGUUCAUAUCGACGGCGGUGUUUGGCACCUCGAUGUCGGCUCAUCACAUCCUGGGGCUGAAGUAGGUCCCAAGGGUAUGGCUGUUCGCCAUUUAAAGUGGUACGCGAGCUGGGUUUAGAACGUCGUGAGACAGUUCGGUCCCUAUCUGCCGUGGGCGCUGGAGAACUGAGGGGGGCUGCUCCUAGUACGAGAGGACCGGAGUGGACGCAUCACUGGUGUUCGGGUUGUCAUGCCAAUGGCACUGCCCGGUAGCUAAAUGCGGAAGAGAUAAGUGCUGAAAGCAUCUAAGCACGAAACUUGCC